rnacentral:rRNA from 1 species
UACGUAGGGACCGAGCGUUGUCCGGAAUCAUUGGGCGUAAAGAGCGUGUAGGCGGCUAUUUAAGUCCUGCGUGAAAUCCUGCGGCUCAACCGCAGACGGUCGUGGGAAACUGGAUGGCUAGAGUGCGGGAGAGGAGAGUGGAAUUCCCGGUGUAGCGGUGAAAUGCGCAGAUAUUGGGAAGAACACCGGUGGCGAAGGCGGCUAUCUGGACUGACAUUGACGCUGAGGCGCGAAAGCGUGGGGAGCAAACAGG